rnacentral:tRNA from 1 species
GGAGAGGUGGCUCAGUGGUUAAGAGCACUAGCUUCUUGCUCUUCCGAUGGUCCUGAGUUCAAAUCCCAGCAACCACA